rnacentral:rRNA from 1 species
AACGAACGCUGGCGGCAGGCCUAACACAUGCAAGUCGAGCGAGUACUUCGGUCCUAGCGGCGGACGGGUGAGUAACGCGUGGGAACGUGCCCUUUGCUUCGGAAUAGCCCUGUUAAUCUGGGAGUUAUAUCGGUUGAUCCCUUUUGGGGAAAGAUUUAUCGGCAAAGGAUCGGCCCGCGUUCGAUUAGGUAGUUGGUUGGGUAAUUGCCUACCAAGCCGACGAUGCAUAGAUGGUUUGAGGGGAUGAUAAGCCACACUGGGACUGAGAAGCGGACGAGAAUAGUACGGAAGGGAGGAGAGGGGAAUGUUAGAAAAUGGGGGAAGAACAGAUAAAGAAAGGCCGCGUGAACGAUGAAGGCCUUAGGGAAGUAAAGCGAAUUAAGCUGGGAAGAUAAUGACGGUAACAGGAGAAGAAGCCCCGGCUAACUACGUG